rnacentral:rRNA from 1 species
AUUGAACGCUGGCGGCAGGCUUAACACAUGCAAGUCGAGCGGAGCGAGGGUGCUUGCACCUUAGCUUAGCGGCGGACGGGUGAGUAAUGCUUAGGAAUCUGCCUAUUAGUGGGGGACAACAUUCCGAAAGGGAUGCUAAUACCGCAUACGCCCUACGGGGGAAAGCAGGGGAUCUUCGGACCUUGCGCUAAUAGAUGAGCCUAAGUCGGAUUAGCUAGUUGGUGGGGUAAAGGCCUACCAAGGCGACGAUCUGUAGCGGGUCUGAGAGGAUGAACCCCCACACUGGGACUGAGACACGGCCCAGACUCCUACGGGAGGCAGCAGUGGGGAAUAUUGGACAAUGGGCGGAAGCCUGAUCCAGCCAUGCCGCGUGUGUGAAGAAGGCCUUUUGGUUGUAAAGCACUUUAAGCGAGGAGGAGGCUCUUAAGGUUAAUACCCUUGAUGAGUGGACGUUACUCGCAGAAUAAGCACCGGCUAACUCUGUGCCAGCCGCCGCCGUAACAC